rnacentral:lncRNA from 1 species
CGUGUCUAAAGGAACCAAAUUUGACGCAAAACGAAACUGCACCUGGCGACCCACAUGGAGAACAAAUGAUGCAUGGCUGAGUUGGACGCGAACGCGAGUGGGCGCGCGAGGCUUGUGGGGGAGACCGAAAGAGACGCGGCUUCGUGUAUGCGGCAAAGACAGAGGAUCUGCAGCCUUUGUGAAGAAAGCAUGUGGCUGAGAAGAGCAUUAAAAGGCUUUAUUGAGGGACCCACGGGCUUUAUGAAGUGCAUUGAAUGCAUGAGGCUGGAAAAAGAAAUCUUCUGCGCGGUCCAC